rnacentral:rRNA from 1 species
AUUGAACGCUGGCGGCAGGCCUAACACAUGCAAGUCGAACGAGUGGCGGACGGGUGAGUAAUGUCUGGGAAACUGCCUGAUGGAGGGGGAUAACUACUGGAAACGGUAGCUAAUACCGCAUACCAUCGGAUGUGCCCAGCUGGGAUUAGCUAGUAGGUGGGGUAAGGGCUCACCUAGGCGACGAUCCCUAGCUGGUCUGAGAGGAUGACCAGCCACACUGGGACGGAGACACGGCCCAGAUGCCGACGGGAGGCAGCAGGGGGGAAUAUUGCACAAUGGGCGCAAGCCUGAUGAAGCCAUGCCGCGUGUAUGAAGAAGGCCUUCGGGUUGUAAAGUACUUUCAGCCGGGAGGCGUUACCCGCAGAAGAAGCACCGGCUAACUCCGUGCCAGCAGCCGCUGUAAUUC